rnacentral:rRNA from 1 species
UCUUUUAGUUUAUAAUUUAAAGUCUAGCCUGCCCGCUGAGGAGUUGAAUGGCCGCGAUAUUUUGAUCGUGCUAAGGUAGCAUAAUCAUUAGUUUUUUAAUUGAAAGCUAGUAUGAAGGGUUGCAUGAAAAAUUAUCUGUCUCUGGUUAAUUUUAUUAAAAUUUUAUUUUUAAGUUAAAAAGCUUAAAUUUAUUUAAAAGACAAGAAGACCCUAUAGAGUUUAAUAUAUAAGUUAUUUUAUAUUUUUAGAAUUUAAAGUAUAUAUUAAUUAUUAUAUUUAAUUGGGGUGAUUAAAAAAUUUAAUAAACUUUAAUUUUAUAAAAAUAUAAAUAAAUAAAUUAAUGAUCCAAAAUUUUUGAUUAUAAGAAAAAAUUACCUUAGGGAUAACAGCGUAAUCUUAUUAGAGAGUUCAAAUUGAAAAUAAGGGUUGCGACCUCGAUGUUGGAUUAAAA